GCGAAUUGCGGGCCAGAAGCCGCGGUAAUACGAAGGGUUGAAAGUUGGCUCGGAAUUAUUGGGCGUAAAGCGCACGUAGUCGGCUGAGCAAGUCCCAUGGGAAAUCCCACGGCUUAACCAUGGAAGUGCAUGGGAAACUGCGGAGCUUGAGUACUUAAGAGGAUCGCGGAAUUCCCGGUGUAGAGGUGAAAUUCGUAGAUAUCGGGAGGAACACCAGUGGCGAAGGCGGCGAUCUGGGAAGAUACUGACGCUGAGGUGCGAAAGCGUGGGGAGCAAACAGGAUUAGAUACCCUAGUAGUC
rnacentral:rRNA from 1 species